rnacentral:rRNA from 1 species
ACCCCUGUGAGGGGAGUGAAAUAGAACCUGAAACCGUGUACGUACAAGCAGUAGGAGCACCUUCGUGGUGUGACUGCGUACCUUUUGUAUAAUGGGUCAGCGACUUAUAUUCAGUGGCAAGGUUAACCGUAUAGGGGAGCCGUAGCGAAAGCGAGUCUUAACUGGGCGCUCAGUCUCUGGAUAUAGACCCGAAACCGGGUGAUCUAGCCAUGGGCAGGUUGAAGGUUGAGUAACAUCAACUGGAGGACCGAACCGACUAAUGUUGAAAAAUUAGCGGAUGACUUGUGGCUAGGGGUGAAAGGCCAAUCAAACUCGGAGAUAGCUGGUUCUCCCCGAAAGCUAUUUAGGUAGCGCCUCGGACGAAUACUACUGGGGGUAGAGCACUGUUAAGGCUAGGGGGUCAUCCCGACUUACCAACCCUUUGCAAACUCCGAAUACCAGUAAGUACUAUCCGGGAGACACACGGCGGGUGCUAACGUCCGUCGUGGAGAGGGAAACAACCCAGACCGCCAGCUAAGGUCCCAAAGUAUUGCUAAGUGGGAAACGAUGUGGGAAGGCUCAGACAGCUAGGAUGUUGGCUUAGAAGCAGCCAUCAUUUAAAGAAAGCGUAAUAGCUCACUAGUCGAGUCGGCCUGCGCGGAAGAUGUAACGGGGCUAAGCAAUACACCGAAGCUGCGGCAAUGUCUUUUAGACAUUGGGUAGGGGAGCGUUCUGUAAGCCGUUGAAGGUGAAUCGUAAGGUUUGCUGGAGGUAUCAGAAGUGCGAAUGCUGACAUGAGUAACGACAAAGGGGGUGAAAAACCUCCUCGCCGGAAGACCAAGGGUUCCUGUCCAACGUUAAUCGGGGCAGGGUGAGUCGACCCCUAAGGUGAGGCCGAAAGGCGUAAUCGAUGGGAAACGGGUUAAUAUUCCCGUACUUCUGACUAUUGCGAUGGGGGGACGGAGAAGGCUAGGUGGGCCAGGCGACGGUUGUCCUGGUUCAAGUGCGUAGGCUUGAGAGUUAGGUAAAUCCGGCUCUCUCUAAGGCUGAGACACGACGUCGAGCUACUACGGUAGUGAAGUCAUUGAUGCCAUGCUUCCAGGAAAAGCCUCUAAGCUUCAGAUAGUCAGGAAUCGUACCCCAAACCGACACAGGUGGUCGGGUAGAGAAUACCAAGGCGCUUGAGAGAACUCGGGUGAAGGAACUAGGCAAAAUGGUACCGUAACUUCGGGAGAAGGUACGCUCUUGAUGGUGAAGUCCCUCGCGGAUGGAGCUGACGAGAGUCGCAGAUACCAGGUGGCUGCAACUGUUUAUUAAAAACACAGCACUGUGCAAAAUCGCAAGAUGACGUAUACGGUGUGACGCCUGCCCGGUGCCGGAAGGUUAAUUGAUGGGGUUAGCGCAAGCGAAGCUCUUGAUCGAAGCCCCGGUAAACGGCGGCCGUAACUAUAACGGUCCUAAGGUAGCGAAAUUCCUUGUCGGGUAAGUUCCGACCUGCACGAAUGGCGUAAUGAUGGCCACGCUGUCUCCACCCGAGACUCAGUGAAAUUGAAAUCGCUGUGAAGAUGCAGUGUACCCGCGGCUAGACGGAAAGACCCCGUGAACCUUUACUACAGCUUGGCACUGAACAUUGAACCUACAUGUGUAGGAUAGGUGGGAGGCUAUGAAGACGUGACGCCAGUUGCGUUGGAGCCGUCCUUGAAAUACCACCCUUGUAUGUUUGAUGUUCUAACUUAGACCCAUUAUCUGGGUUGAGGACAGUGCCUGGUGGGUAGUUUGACUGGGGCGGUCUCCUCCCAAAGAGUAACGGAGGAGCACGAAGGUGGGCUAAUCACGGUUGGACAUCGUGAGGUUAGUGCAAUGGCAUAAGCCCGCUUAACUGCGAGAAUGACGGUUCGAGCAGGUGCGAAAGCAGGUCAUAGUGAUCCGGUGGUUCUGUAUGGAAGGGCCAUCGCUCAACGGAUAAAAGGUACUCCGGGGAUAACAGGCUGAUACCGCCCAAGAGUUCAUAUCGACGGCGGUGUUUGGCACCUCGAUGUCGGCUCAUCACAUCCUGGGGCUGAAGUCGGUCCCAAGGGUAUGGCUGUUCGCCAUUUAAAGUGGUACGCGAGCUGGGUUUAGAACGUCGUGAGACAGUUCGGUCCCUAUCUGCCGUGGGCGUUGGAAGAUUGAAGGGGGCUGCUCCUAGUACGAGAGGACCGGAGUGGACGAACCUCUGGUGUUCGGGUUGUGUCGCCAGACGCAUUGCCCGGUAGCUAAGUUCGGAAUUGAUAAGCGCUGAAAGCAUCUAAGCGCGAAGCGAGCCCUGAGAUGAGUCUUCCCUGACAGUUUAACUGUCCUAAAGGGUUGUUCGAGACUAGAACGUUGAUAGGCAGGGUGUGUAAGCGUUGUGAGGCGUUGAGCUAACCUGUACUAAUUGCCCGUGAGGCUUAACCAUACAACACCCAAGG